UCCACCUUAUCUUUAUCAUCUCUCUCUGAACUUUCCUCCUCUGUUCAGUUCAUAAAAAUUGAAUCUUGACAAUUUGUCUUUGUCUAAAAGCUGUGUGGAAAUUAAAAGUGGAAGGGAAUUGAGGCACAGAUUCAAUCUCAAAAAGGGGCUUCUGUGUUUGCUGUGAAACCCCAAAACCAGAGGUUUCAUCUCACAACCCUCAUGUGAUUUGAGGCACAGAUUCAAUCCCAAAAAGGGGGCUUCUGUGUUUGUAAUCGAUAAAGCUGUUAUUUUGUUUAAAAAGAUUGGCUUAGGGAUGGUGAUAGAGCUGGUGAAUUGGUGUUACCUUGUCUCCCAAUGACCCAAUGUCAGUUGAUGAACUAAAUGAUCAAAUGGGGUUGACUGGUAGUGGAAGAGGUGAGGAUGAUUUGCUCCCAAUCAAAAGGGCUUCUUUCUUUGCCAUCAAACCCCAAAACCAGAGCUUUCAUCUCCUCAGAUUACCACUGUUGAUGAAGCCAAGAAAUUCUAUCCCCUGUUUGGGCUCGGAGCAAAUGUAGCGCUUAUCUUCUCCCGUUGAACAGUGAAAUACUUCUCUAAACUGAGAGGGUGAAAAGGGAUUGCAGAAAUGAUAAUUGAUUUGAGGUACAGAUUCAAUCCCAAAUACAGUCUUACUAUUUCAAAUGUGUUAGCAUAAGAAUAAAAAAGUGAUAAUUGAUUAAACAGUGAGUAGCUUAUGAGAACUUCAGGCAA